UUUGCAUAAUUACACACUUUAAAAUCAUGCAUUAUUAACUUUAAAGAUUAUUUUUGCUGCUUGAGGUUGAAAAAAAAAUUGAUAAUCAUAACAAUUGUACAUAAAUAAUGUUUAGUAGGUGUGAACAUUAAGUACGAAAUGAACUGGGUACGAAUAUCACUCAUGUGGUUUUACUUGGUUUUUAUCGUAAAUCACUUAUCAAUACGGAAGGCUCCAAGGCAUGCAUUACUGUUUAAGUGUUUUUAGAGGAAAUUUUCAGUGUUAAAUUUGGAAUUUAUCAGUCAUGAAUUGGAAAAUUUGCUGUCUAUUUUCUAUUGGUAACGGUGCCGUUUUUCCGGUAUCAGUUAUAUAAGGAAAAACACUGGGUUGUUGUUAAGAUUUUAGUCAUUGACUAGAUUUCUACCAGAAUUUUUUUGUUUUUACUCUUCUUGUGCAAGUUGUGGUUAUAGAGUGUGAUGAACAUAUUGACUCUUACUUUGUAAAACGUUCAGAUACAAAGACAGUUGCUAAAAAAUAUCAAGAUCUCAAGUUUGUUUUGCCCCUGUCUUGCAUAUCUGUAAUGGAAGAACAGUUAUUAUGGAUAAAUAAAGGUACUUCAAUAAAAUGUAAUUUUGGGUACUGUCAGAUCUACAUGUUACGCUACAAGUUUCUUCUCGUAAUUACAUAUUUAAGAACUAGUAUGGCUAAUGAGUACAAAAUUUUGGAGGUACUACACUACAAGACAGAAGAGAAUAUCUGUCCUUGCAAGCAGUCUUGAAGACCUUCUGAAGAAAUCUGGUGACAAGCAACAGUUGCAAGGAGGAAGUUUGAUUGUUGUGCUGGAAAAAGAUGUGACAGAAAUGGAAGAAAACGCCAUCCUUGACAUAUUCAAAACUAAGUAUUGAUGCUUCUAGAAGACCAACAAUUAUGAGAACCAGAUAUUCCAAAAGACACUGUUGUAAUGUUUGGGCAGACACCCAAGAUGCCAACAUAUCAAAGACUGAGACAGAGUCCACAACUGUUACCACAGCGACAGAAAUUGUAACACCAUCUUAUGUUGUUUGAAAUUAAAUUAAUUCUUGCAGUAGGCCACAUCCAACCAUUUGUUCAGUUGACAAUCUACAUAUAUUGUUUGAAGCAGUAGCUACACUUAAACCUGGAGGAAAAGAGUGCAAAGAUGAUUUGGACGUUAUAAGAGCCAUAGAAAGUAAUACAGGAUUCAAACAUGGAAAGGGGUGCAAGACUAGAUAAAUUGUAGUUCUACAUAAGGAUAUUGAAGAAGCUAAUCUGUCAAAGGUCCUGUCAUCUGACAUCACAGCCUAAUACUCCUCCAAGUUGAAGCUUUGUUUUUUAUUUUUAACAACAUAGAAUUGGACAAACAGUAUAUUGUUGGAGACCGGUGCAAGAUUCUACUUGAGACAGAUAGCCUCAUGGAAGGGCUAUUCUUAUUAAUAAACUGGUAUUAUAUAAUGGAUCUAGAAAACCCUACUGCUUUUCACAACUCCUUGGAUUCAUUCAACAAACAGUAUUUAAACAAGCCUUUCUUAGUCACAAGUCGGCUGGGUAUUAACACUUUGUGGAAAAAAAUUGGAAAAACUAAUGAACAAAUAGAACCAACAUUUUAAAUUAAAUUCAACCUUCUGUGUCAUGGACAUAUUAUUGACUUCUU